rnacentral:pre_miRNA from 1 species
ACAACAUUUGGGAAGUCGGUCUACUGAGCAAUAUCACCCACUCGGUCGAAGAUCUUGCCUUGUCGU